rnacentral:rRNA from 1 species
GAUGAACGCUAGCGGAAGGCAUAAUACAUGCAAGUCGAACGGAUGUAGCAAUACAUUAGUGGCGCACGGGUGCGUAACGCGUAUGCAACCUACCUUCAUCAGGGGGAUAACUACCCGAAAGGGUGGCUAACACCGCAUAAUACUAUUGAGUGGCAUCACUUGAUAUUUAAAUCUGAGGAGGAUGAAGAUGGGCAUGCGUCUGAUUAGCUAGUUGGUGUGGUAACGGCGCACCAAGGCGACGAUCAGUAGGGGAACUGAGAGGUUGGUCCCCCACACUGGCACUGAGAGACUGGCCAGACUCCUACGGGAGGCAGCAGUAGGGAAUAUUGGUCAAUGGUGGGAACACUGAACCAGCCAUUCCGCAUGCAGGAAGAAGGGUCUCUGACUUGUAAACUGCUUUAGCAAGGGAAGAAAAAGCUCAUGCGUGAGAAAUUGACGGUACCUUGAGAAUAAGCACCGGCUAACUACGUGCCAGCCGCCGCAGUAAGAC